GUCAGGAUGGCCGAGCGGUCUAAGGCGCCAGACUCAAGAGUAUAAUCUCUUCCCUUCACUUGGGAUUUCUGGUCUCCGAAUGGAGGCGUGGGUUCAAAUCCCACUUCUGACA